UGGGAAAUGAGGUUAGUCUGAGAGUGGA
rnacentral:piRNA from 1 species